UAGACAGUGCUUUUGCCUCGCUGGCUCUUCUAUGAACAGUCUGCAUUGCGCUGAACCUUUUGUCCAGUGUCUCGCUGCGUUCCUCCAGUUCUAAUUGAAUCAACAGGGUUGCUGUUACGAGGAGCAUUGAGGCAAGGGGGUCUCUCAGAGGGCAAAGGACGGGUCAGGACCUCUGAUCCCAGCGCCGUAGCUACUGGGCACGGCCAACUAGUGUCAAACUUUGGGCACUGGGAUGAAUUAGCACUGUGUUUGUAAUGAGUCCCAGCUGGAGCAUUGUAAAGGAGACUUCUUAUUCAUCUGUUGCAGGCAACUUGCAAGCCGUACACUCACGCAUGACAGCCAUUCUUAUCAAGAACUCUUCGUGCUUUGUGGGCACAAAUCCGGAGAGAGGAUCCAAAGCCAAGGGAAAAGUGCCAUCGGAAAAAAUAAACAGGACAAGUGAUACAGAAGAAAAUGUGUGGCAGUCAACCCACAUGUUGCCACUCUUCUGUGCAAAUUCCAAUGGAAUUUCUGAAAUUCACACUUUGAAUCCUGGGAUGGAACUUCAUCUGGAGCAUAAUUGUUAUUUGGUUGAUUUUUAUCUGUUUGAUGGAAAGUUUGUAUGACUUGUUUGGCCAUAUUGGUCUAUUCUUUAAGUGAUGAAAGCUAUCUGAAAACGUCUUUGUGGUUUUUAAAGGAUUAGUUCACCCAAAAAUGAAAAUUCAGUCAAUAAUUACUUUGUCGUUCCACACCCGUAAGAUCUUCGUUCAUCUUCACAACACACAUGAAGAUGUGGCUCAAUGAAGCCUGCAUUUCUAGCAAGAUCAUUUCUUUUUUCAAUGCCCAGAAAGCCUCUAAAACAUUUAAAACAGUUCAUGUGAUUACAGGUGUUCAACCUUAAUAUUAUAAAGUGACGAGAAUACUUUCUUUGCCACAAAAAAACCCACCCAAAACAAUUAUUUUAUUCAACCAUAUCUAGUGAUGGGCAAUUUCAAAACACUGCUCCAUGAAGCUUAGAAGCUUUACGAAUCUUUUGUUUCAAAUCAUUUGCUCAGAACAUGUAUCAAACUGCAAAAGUCACAUGAACUAUUGCAAUUUCAAA